AUGGCCAUACUGAAACACUUGUUCCCAUACAACUACUGAGGUUAAGCAAUGUUGAGUCUGGUCAUUACUUUGAUGGGUGGCUGUUUGGGAAUAUCAGGUGCUGUAAG